GAUGAACGCUGGCGGCGUGCCUAAUACAUGCAAGUCGAGCGAACAGACGAGGAGCUUGCUCCUCUGACGUUAGCGGCGGACGGGUGAGUAACACGUGGAUAACCUACCUAUAAGACUGGGAUAACUUCGGGAAACCGGAGCUAAUACCGGAUAAUAUAUUGAACCGCAUGGUUCAAUAGUGAAAGACGGUUUUGCUGUCACUUAUAGAUGGAUCCGCGCCGCAUUAGCUAGUUGGUAAGGUAACGGCUUACCAAGGCAACGAUGCGUAGCCGACCUGAGAGGGUGAUCGGCCACACUGGAACUGAGACACGGUCCAGAGUCCUACGGGAGGCAGCAGUAGGGAAUCUUCCGAAAUGGGCGAAAGCCUGACGGAGCAACGCCGCGUGAGUGAUGAAGGUUUUCGGAUCGUAAAACUCUGUUAUUAGGGAAAAACAAAUGUGUAAGUAACUGUGCACGUCUUGACGGUACCUAAUCAGAAAGCCACGGCUAACUACGUG
rnacentral:rRNA from 1 species